GGUGGUAUGGUCUAGUGGUAUGACGUCACGUUGUGGUGAUUAACAAUUGCACAACUUCCGUGCCAGCCUCAGUUCGAUUCUGGGUACCGCCA